ensembl:lncRNA
GUUAAGGGACGCCCAGCGUCAGAUCAGCUUGCGCCGCCUUGUCAGGCAAGGAGAGACAGUGGACAUUGGCUGCGUGCUUCCCCACGCCGCCUCGUCCAGUCCACUUGCCAGCCCUGGGAACAGGCAGUCCUGCCCCAUUUCACAGAGGGGAAACGGAGGCUCAGAAGAGUGGUCUAACUUGGAUCAGGUCGCCCAGCUUGUGAGUGACAGAGCCUAGGUGCCAACCAGGUCUCUCUGUCUCCUAAAGCUGUCAGCGGAGCCCAACGCCGCCGGGAGAACUGGACCAGCCUGCUCAGGAAACUGGCCUGGAAAGGUACAAAGACAUAACAACGAGUGGAACAAAGACCCUGCCCUCAAGAACUCAUGUUCCAGCGGGAGAAGACCAACAGUAAACAGGUGAAGUCUAAUGGGAAAAUGGGCCUCAGCAUGACCUCUACCCUCUACUGCCUCCCCAGGACAAGUUCUCUGCCGCCUCCUUCCCUGCGUGCUGGCCUUCCAGGGCCCAUCCAGCCUCCACCUCCGUGUCCUGCAAUCACUGCUGUCCUCCAACCUUGGAGGGACCCGUUCAUGGGCAGAGGCAGGGUCAGGCCUCAGCAUCCCACAGCAUCUUGGGGCAGGGCAUGGAAGCAGCUGUCACUGCUUGGGCUGGCAGUAUUACGGUAUACCUGGUGGGUGACACACCAGAGGCUGUGUCUUGAUGGAGGAUCCUGGGCGUGGACCUACACACUGCUCAUUAAGCCAUGCUGUGGAGGCAUCCCACAUAGAAGAACUAGAAGGACUUACAACCAAGAUGUACAACUAUGUACUGGAGCUUUGGGGAGAAAAAAAAGAAGAAGAUUAGCAAAUGAUGUUAGCUCAUGGCCAAUCUUCCUCAGCAAAAAAAAAAAGAGUAACAGAAGCUCUGUAAAGACCCCUUUCUGAAGUCACGUAACCUCCAAACCCCCGUCUGGGAAUACAUCACAAAGAGCUCCACUGCUCCACGAAGCAAGCCCAGCUCCCCGCCGGCCGCCUGCUCGCCGAGGCGGGGCAAUGUCUGUGAGCUGGACAGGAAGCUUUAACUCUGUCAGAAAAGGUCCUGGAGUCCUGAGCAGGAACAGCUGAGCUCCACCUUGGGCGGGUGGUCGCAUUGCUAAAGACUUCAACUAUACCACUAACAAUGGUUCUCUCUAGAGGGCGGGAUUACCAGGGCGCUUCCACAUUCCACGGCUUAUAUUUCCAUGUUGUUUGAAUUUGUACUGAAUUCGUAUUAUAUGUGUAAUUUAACAAAUGUAUGUAUAAGUAUAUACUUAAACCCAUCAGGAACAUUAUUCUCGUCACUAGAAAAAGUGUAAGGUACGCAGAGUGCAGGAGCUGGAGGGAGCUUUGGAAAUAGACCCUAACUCCGACUAUGGUCCAUGGUCCAGCAGCAUCGUCUUCCCCUGAGAGCUUGGUAGAAAUGCAGACUCUCAGACCAGCUCUGGACCUACCGAAUCAAAACCUGCAUUUUAAGAGAUCCCAGGCGACGUUGACAUUUGAAAAGCCCUGAUCUAGUCCAGGCAACUUCCUGAUUUUUACUGCAAAGGAAACAGGAGAGGCAAAGGGAGUCAAAGUUCACACAGCUUGUCGGCACCAAAAUGAAGGCUUAGGCUCCUGUCCGUGGACUCCCAGACCAGGACGCUUCUCCUGCCUCCAGCUUGCCUCUCCAGCCGGUGGUCUUCUAGAACCUCAGCUUAUUUUUCCAUACUUUGUGCUGGAAUGAGUCAAUGCUGGUUGCCAUGUCAUGAAGAAGGGAAUCACCUGUGAUUAUCCAGGGCGUAUAGCAGUUUAACCAGCCCAGCUGUUUAGAAUUUGAAUUCAGCUCCCUAUAUACACUCAUUCAGAUGGGAUCAUCCCAGCCUGUUGGCGCGUCUUGAGGAAGAAAGUCUGGGUUUGCCGUGUUGGCUGUUCAUACUGAUCUGAAGACAUCCUCAGACUGGGGUAUAUCUGACUCAAGAAAAGUCUCAGCCUGGCUCCAAACAGCACAGGGGCCAGAUCACAGGAGGGCUCCCUAGAGCGCAUGCACGCAGCCAAGGAGUCCUUGCCUGAGACCUUGAGAGAUACCUCGAGAGGCCAAAGGUGAAGGCUGAGCCAAAAAUACACAAGAAAGGCAAAGUCCUAAACAUCAGAGUUAUUGUCGGGAAAUUAGCUGCGGUGCAGGAAAGGAGCACCAGGGCGAGGCCAGCAGGCAGGAAGAAUGGAAGCAGCUAAGAGGCGGGCUGUGGAGAAAGGCCAAUUCUGGUUCCACCAAUCUCCAGGUGCGAUCUUGGGCGAGCACCUUUCUCUCUCAAAGGCAUCAUAAGUCAAAUUGAUAUUAUUUCAAGUUAAUAUCAUACCUUUUUCAAAAUAAAGCACUGAUUUUUAUAAGGAGUUGAAUAUAAAGUCACCCCCUGCUAUGGUCUGAGUGUGCCCCCCCAGAGUCGUGUGUUGAGGUCCUGAUGCCCAAUGUGAUGUGUUAGGAGGCGGGGCCUUUGGGAAGUGCUUAGGUCCUGAGGGUGGAGACCUCAUGAAUGGGAUUAGUGCUCUAGUAAACGAGACCCCACAGAACUCCAUAGCCCCUUCUGCCACACGGGGACACAAAGAGAAGUCUGCCACCUGGAAGAGGGCAUCACUCGACUGUGCUAGUCCUGCCAUCUCAGACUUCCAGCCUCCAGAACUGUGAGAACAAAUUUGUUGUUUUCAAGCUACCUGGUCUGUGGUGUUUUGCUAUAGAAGCCAGAGUGGACGAAGGCACACCUUUCCUGAGGGAGUUUUUAGGGGCUUGGGGCAGAGGAACAAACGUUGCCGUAUGUUCAGGCCUACAGGUGAACUGACUCAAGGUUUUAGUGAGUGAGGGCAGAGUGCGAUUCAACCCAGGCUCAGCGAGAGUCCAAGUCCUCAGUCACAAAGCUGCCACGGGUGUUUCCUCAGGACUGAGUCCAGGCCUCGCCUGCCCCGGCCACCCUGAGCAGGGCUUGCUCCCCGCUGUGACAGGAGAGCUGGUGAAGCAGCCUGCUCUGCCCUCCCUUGGCACUCCGGGCUCUCCUCACAGAACUUAGCACAUUGUGCUGUAAAUUGUGCAGGAGAACCCUUUGAGGGUAAGGACUGUGUCGUGUCCCACUGUGACAGCAGCAUUUAAUGCAGUGCCCGACGUGCAAUAAAUUUUCAGUGCAAAAUAUCUGUGGGAUGACU